CUGGAGGAGCAGCUGGAGCCUGACGGGGGAGUGGGGAGUGCUGGGGCUGGGGCUGCCCUGGGCACGGGACACGGCCGGGAUGGCUGAAAGGAACGGGGAUCAAGGUGGGGACAGGGAGCGAGCUGCGGGGCUGCCCCGCUCUGCACUGAUGCUUCUGGGACAGGGACAUCCUCCACCCGUCUCCAUUCACUUCCACUUUGUUUUGGUGACACAGUGCAGAGAGCUGCACAAGUGUCUGUCCUUACUGCGCCACGUGCAUGAGCCUUGCACAAAGCUCGUUUUUGUUCCAUGUUAGUCCAGUCCCUCCCAAACUUGGAGGAAGGUGCUCUGUUUCCACUCACUUCAGAAAAAUAGUUGAGGGUCUAGCUAUGGGAGUAGCCAUGGAAUGAGAAGCACUGCCUUCUGAUCACACAUUGACUUUUUUUUUUUCUUUUCUAUUGAAUAAAGGUGCAAAGCUAGGUAAGUCUGCAUUCAUAAACCCAAAGUCUUCCCAUCUUCGGAUGAGUUCUCCCUUCUUAUCCUGCUUUGCUUUUGCUUUCCUUUUCCAGCGGAACAAGCUGCAGAGCAGGGUGAGUGUCCAUGUGCUUGGGCCCCAGGGCAAGGCUAAGGAGAUGUUUAGGGGAGAGUGGGCAGCUGGGACUGAGCACUUCAGGGAUUUUCUCUUUCUUUUCCAGAUGAGUACUCUGGAAAUGCUGGUAAGUUUCCAUCAAAAUCUGAAGGGAUUUGGGGUGUCGCAAUGGGAUGAGAAGCUGUUCCAUCUCAUCAUGCCAUUUUUCCUCUCAUUUGCAGCAGAGCAAUCUACAAGACUGCAGGACCUAGCUGCAGAGUUGGUGAGAAGAGAUAGAGAACUCGGUGAGUAUCCUGCACCACAGCAAAGCAGUUUAGGGUCCAGCGAUGGAAUGAGAAGCUCUCUCCUCUCACCAGGCAUUGCUUUUCUCUCCCCCUCUUUUUUUUUUUUUUUUUCUCUUCAGAGGAACAAGCAGCAGAGCUGGGUGAGUGUCCCCACACUUGGGCCCCAGGACAACACCAAGGCAAUGUGCAGGGGAGGGUGGGCAGCUGGGACAGAGCAGCCCAGAGCUGGCCCCUCAUCCUGA
rnacentral:lncRNA from 1 species